rnacentral:rRNA from 1 species
CGGACGGGUGAGUAAUGUCUGGGAAACUGCCUGAUGGAGGGGGGUAACUACUGGAAACGGUAGCUAAUACCGCAUAACGUCGCAAGACCAAAGAGGGGGACCUUCGGGCCUCUUGCCAUCGGAUGUGCCCAGAUGGGAUUAGCUAGUAGGUGGGGUAACGGCUCACCUAGGCGACGAUCCCUAGCUGGUCUGAGAGGAUGACCAGCCACACUGGAACUGGGACACGGUCCAG